GUUUUUCUAAACUGCCAGUAUCAGAUUUUAUUUUGAUUUCAAGUCUUUAAAGACAAUUGUUGUAUAAAACCAAACGAAUAAUUACAGUGACUUUCAAACUGUUCAAAUAUAUUUACUCAUAGCUAUGAUAGCUUUUUGUGAAAUCGGCAUAAUUGUCAAAUAUUCAUAUGUGACAAGCGUUCAAGUUUCCGCUGAAUAGCGGUAAACCAAGUAUAUUUUAAAGAAAUAAAAAUAAAUAAAUUUUGGAAGCUCAAUGAAUGCAUUUUAUAAUUGCAUGUGCGAUACAUACGUUAAAUAACAUUAACAACGUAACACGUAAUGCGAGUACGAAGCAUAAAGUCAAGCCGUUAAAAUCUAAAUAAAAUGAUACAAAGAAACAGUGAAUGAAAUACUUUGGUUGAAGAAUAUCAAAAGAAAUCAAAAGAAAUUAUUGUGUAAAUCAUAAAUUUGGCUAAAAGCUGGCAUAAACUGGAGACUUUUAUACCAAAAUCUUUAAAUUAGAGAAUUAGUAAGUGAGUAUGUACAUUAAAUGUUUGUUUUACGCGUGUUUCUUUGUUUGUUGUUAGUUGCCUUGUUUUGUUGUUGUGGCUGUUGGUUGUAUGUUGUGCGUGUAGUUGCGUGUUGCAGCACUUAUGCCAAAUGUAUGUAUGUAUGUAUGCAUAGUAAAUGUAAAUAUUACUUUAUUUAGUUAAAUCUUACUCUUUAUUUACUGCACGGUUCAAUUAAAAUGCUUAAAUACUUAUUAACUAAAUACUUACAUCAAGAUUUAAUUUUACUACUAAAUGUCUUUAAACAGUACAAUAAUAUUUAUUUAAUAUUCUUAUUUUGCCUUUUUUGUCACUUUUUUUUCAUUAUUAAAUAUGUAUGUAUUUCCAUACAUCUCUGUCUUUUCGAUAUAGUUCACACUUUCAUCUGCUAUUCAUUCAAUAUAUUAAGUUAACUGAAUUGAAUUAGAAUUUAAUUAAAU